UCCUGCCCGGUGAUUUUAACGGCCGCGGUAUCCUGACCGUGCAAAGGNNNNNNNAAUUUGCCUCCUAAUUAGAGGCUGGCAUGAAUGGAUUUACGAAAGUAUAGCUGUCUCCUACUAAAAUAUAAAAACUAAACUUCAAGUGAAGAUGCCUGAAUUUUACUAAAGGACAAAAAGACCCUGUUGAGCUUCACCUACAAUAAAUAUCACAAUUUACUAAGGUUUAGUUGGGGCGACUAAGGAAGAAAUAAAGCUUCCUCAAUAAAUAGACUAAUAUGUCCUAUAAAUGAUCCGCUAAAGCAAUCUAAAGAAAAGCUACCACAGGGAUAACAGACCAAUUCUUCUUAAGAGCUCAAAUUGACAGAAGAGCUUGGCACCUCGAUGUUGGCUUAAGGUUUCCUCUAUGUGCAGCAGCCUAGAAGGUAGGUUUGUUCAACCUUUAAAACCUU
rnacentral:rRNA from 1 species